rnacentral:rRNA from 1 species
UACGUAGGGGGCAAGCGUUGUCCGGAUUUAUUGGGCGUGAAGAGCUCGUAGGUGGUUCGGUAAGUCGGAUGUGAAAUCUCCAGGCUCAACCUGGAGGGGUCAUUCGAUACUGCCGUGACUAGAGGUCGGUAGGGGAGUGUGGAAUUCCUGGUGGAGCGGUGAAAUGCGCAGAUAUCAGGAGGAACACCCGUAGCGAAGGCGGCACUCUGGGCCGAUACUGACACUGAGGAGCGAAAGCGUGGGGAGCGAACAGG